AAUUUGAUUACAGUGACGAAUGCAAAAUGAAAUAAGAGAAGUAAAGUGUUAGUGGAACCUAGUAAAUCCAAAUGUAGUUGUGGCGGCAUUACACCAAUAGGUGUAGUCUGCCAUAACUUUAAAGAAGAAGAGAAAGAAGAACUUCCGGUUCUCCUUGCUUGCUUCUUUCUCCACUAAAAAGCCGGAGUGUGGUCUUAGGACAGAGUUUAGCCAACUAGCUAGCUAACGUUACUGUACACGUGAAGACUACCUAAUAUGGGUCGCCGCAAGUCCAAGAGAAAGCCCCCUCCAAAGAAGAAGCUUACUGGAAAUUUGGACACUCAAUUCACCUGUCCAUUCUGCAAUCACGAAAAGUCAUGUGAUGUGAAAAUGGAAAGGACCAGAAAUACUGGGAUAAUAUCAUGUACAGUUUGCCUGGAGGAGUUCCAAACCCCCAUUACCUGUAUCCUUUGAAGUCUAUUGAACUCAAACACA